UACGAAGGGUGCAAGCGUUACUCGGAAUUACUGGGCGUAAAGCGUGCGUAGGCGGUUUGUUAAGUCCGCUGUGAAAGCCCCGGGCUUAACCUGGGAACUGCGUCUGGGACUGAGAGGCUAGAGUUCGGGAGAGGAGAGUGGAAUUCCCGGUGUAGUGGUGAAAUGCGUAGAUAUCGGGAGGAACACCAGUGGCGAAGGCGACUACCUGGCCUGUUCUUGACGCUGAGGCGCGAAAGCUAGGGGAGCAAACGGG
rnacentral:rRNA from 1 species